ACGGGGCUUGAAAGGACAACAAAGUGUUUCGUCCUACAAGUUACAGAAAUGGAGCGGUCCCUGAUCAUGGUGAGCAAGCUAACCGGGUGUAAAUUCACCUGAAGUUGGAAGCCUAAAGUGGUUACUAAUCGCGGCCUCCUUUGAAAUUCUGGACGAAAACCUUAAAAAUCGUUCUUUUAGGCCCCUCA
rnacentral:other from 1 species